rnacentral:rRNA from 1 species
AGUGGCGGACGGGUGAGUAACAUUUAGGAAUCUGCCUAGUAGUGGGGGAUAGCUCGGGGAAACUCGAAUUAAUACCGCAUACGACCUACGGGUGAAAGGGGGCGCAAGCUCUUGCUAUUAGAUGAGCCUAAAUCAGAUUAGCUAGUUGGUGGGGUAAAGGCCCACCAAGGCGACGAUCUGUAACUGGUCUGAGAGGAUGAUCAGUCACACCGGAACUGAGACACGGUCCGGACUCCUACGGGAGGCAGCAGUGGGGAAUAUUGGACAAUGGGGGCAACCCGGAUCCAGCCAUGCCGCGUGUGUGAAGAAGGCCUUUUGGUUGUAAAGCACUUUAAGCAGGGAGGAGAGGCUAAUGGUUAAUACCCAUUAGAUUAGACGUUAUCUGCAGAAUAAGCACCGGCUAACUCUGUGCCAGCAGCCGCGGUAAUACAGAGGGUGCGAGCGUUAAUCGGAAUUACUGGGCGUAAAGCGAGUGUAGGUGGCUCAUUAAGUCGCAUGUGAAAUCCCCGGGCUUAACCUGGGAACUGCAUGUGAUACUGGUGGUGCUAGAAUAUGUGAGAGGGAAGUAGAAUUCCAGGUGUAGCGGUGAAAUGCGUAGAGAUCUGGAGGAAUACCGAUGGCGAAGGCAGCUUCCUGGCAUAAUAUUGGCACUGAGAUUCGAAAGCGUGGGUAGCAAACAGGAUUAGAUACCCUGGUAGUC